AAUGUGUUAAGAGGGUCGGUCCAGCUUUAAGAACUAUGGUAAAUUUUUAGCACACCAUUUUCUUUGCUCUGUCUGAAAAUCAAAAGUAUCCAAUAUGAGACUUGCAAUGAAGAAGGGGGAUGCUUUGAACCUGUAUUAGGGUAUUAUGGGUGAGAAUUUAGAACUGAAUAGCAGCAAUGGAUACAGAACAGAGCACACAUCCAGGAGGAUUGCUUACUGAUCUAAAGGUUUUUCUGAAGCAUAUAAAGAGCAGCUGAGGACAGAUAUUUUUCUCGUUACUUGUGAAGAUGUAUAUUAUUCAAAAACACAAGAGAAAAAUCAAAGAAAGAGGAACAUACAUUUCUCUUUUCUUGUACAGAACCAUCACUACUAUGUCAUAGUGCCAGAGACAGCUUGGCAAGUCAUAGGCUAGAAAUGGAAACUCAAAAUGCCUUUUUAGAAACAAGUGUUUUGAAUGAUUCUUCCAUUUUCUGUAAUUGUCACUGGAACUGGAUGAUACUGAGUUGGAGUAGAUUUUCCUUUGGACUGCUAUAAAUGAACAAUCAACACAUGUGCAGGAUAAAGACUUUGCUGACCCACUCCCUGUGCAACUGUUAGAGAAAGACAUAAGUUCUGGUUUGCAAACGGAUUUAAAAGGCACUGGCCCAUGGGUAAUCCUGAUGGAGCACAUUUGUUUUCUGUGCAGAUCCUCUCACCUGUAUAGUUACUAAGCUGGGUACCACUGCCACACGACCACACAUCUGUCUCAGGGUAGGACAGCCUGACCUUCUCCAGAUGCAGUGCUGUUAUCACAGGAGACAGAAUAACAAGGACGGGUAUGCAUCCUGAACAUGAAGCAUAAAGAGUUUGGAGAGUUUUAUCACUUGAAAGAAGAGAACAGAAUCAAUUCCUAAAUAAGGCAAUAAAGACUGUAAUGUUUUCUUUUUAAUUACCUGUCAGAUUUUCUCUUCAGGAUACUGCUUAAAUUACAAAGGAGAGUGUUUGA
rnacentral:sRNA from 1 species